AACGAACGCUGGCGGCAUGCCUAACACAUGCAAGUCGAACGAGACCUUCGGGUCUAGUGGCGCACGGGUGCGUAACGCGUGGGAACCUGCCCUUAGGUUCGGCAUAACUCCCCGAAAGGGGUGCUAAUACCGGAUAAUGUCUUCGGACCAAAGAUUUAUCGCCUUUGGAUGGGCCCGAGUUGGAUUAGCUAGUUGGUAGGGUAAAAGCCUACCAAGGCGACGAUCCAUAGCUGGUCUGAGAGGAUGAUCAGCCACACUGGGACUGAGACACGGCCCAGACUCCUACGGGAGGCAGCAGUGGGGAAUAUUGGACAAUGGGCGAAAGCCUGAUCCAGCAAUGCCGCGUGAGUGAUGAAGGCCUUAGGGUUGUAAAGCUCUUUUACCCGGGAUGAUAAUGACAGUACCGGGAGAAUAAGCUCCGGCUAACUCCGUG
rnacentral:rRNA from 1 species